GUUUGUUCAUUGAAGCACAACUGUGAGCAAUGGCAUCAAUGAAAGCAAAGAAACCUGAGGCAGCUUCAGGAGCAGCGAAGAUUCAACCGGUAAAAGCUGCUGCGAGCGCAGCGAAACCAGCGGCAAAGGUGGUGCAAAAGCCACAGGAAAAGAAGAAGGCUGCUGGUCCGAAGGCUGCUGCUAAUGCCAAGUAAGAGGGGCUGUCUGCUGGUUUGAGAUGUGUUUAGCAGCACAAACCGGUGCCUAAGUAUGUGAUAAUAAGCUGGAUGGUGCUGCAUAUGUAAUAUUUGAAGCUUAAUGUUAGUAGAGUUAAUUGGUGAGUAAGUUGUGUGAUGAUUGUGUAUUUAAUGCUUCACAAAAUUGAGGAUGUUCUG
rnacentral:misc_RNA from 1 species